GCUGGGUGUGGUGGUGCAUGCCUGUAAUCCCAGCCACCUAGGAGGCUGAGGCAAGAAGACGUCAGCCUCUU
rnacentral:sRNA from 1 species